GAACUAGAUUUUAACCCGCGGUAC
rnacentral:siRNA from 1 species